rnacentral:lncRNA from 1 species
AUGGGGCUGGAGCCUACCUGGGGUAGAAUAAGCAUCUGGACCGCUGAGCCUUCAUCCAGAUGGAAAGCUCUGAACGUAUCAGUUAAGUCAGCCUAACAUUCAGUGAAAUGAACUUUUACAUAUAUAGGAGUUUACCCUGUCUGAACGCUUGACUCCUUUGGAUAACAAAGCAGUGCCAUUUAUGACAAACCAUUAUUUUCAACAAGAAUUGAACUGGUGACUUGAAGACAAUAAACCCAAAUCAUCUGCUGGACUCCUUCAUCCAUUCUUCUCAUAAUCUUGAACUGCAUUUCAAUAUCAACACUGUAGAAAACGAAGAAGAUUGAUGGCCACUUAAGAAAUUUUUCUAGACUAGUUUUACCACUUAGGUAACCGGCUAUUUAUAAAGCCACUGAAACAGCAUCCUACUGGUUU